rnacentral:rRNA from 1 species
UACGUAGGCAGCGAGCGUUGUUCGGAAUUACUGGGCGUAAAGAGUGUGUAGGCGGUGCUCCCAGUCUGUUGUGAAAUCUCCCGGCUUAACUGGGAGGGUGCAGCGGAAACUAGAGUGCUAGAGGGUGGGAGAGGUAAGCGGAAUCCUGGUGUAGCGGUGAAAUGCGUAGAGAUGUGGAGGAAUACCGAUGGCGAAGGCAGCCCCCUGGGAUAACACUGACGCUCCAUGCACGAAAGCGCUGGGGAGCAAACAGGG